rnacentral:rRNA from 1 species
ACUCAAAUGAAUAGACGGGGGCCCGCACAAGCAGCGGAGCAUGUGGUUUAAUUCGACGCAACGCGAAGAACCUUACCUGGGCUUGACAUGUGCCUGACCGCCAUAGAAAUAUGGUUUCUCUUCGGAGCAGGUUCACAGGUGGUGCAUGGCUGUCGUCAGCUCGUGUCGUGAGAUGUUGGGUUAAGUCCCGCAACGAGCGCAACCCCCGUCGUAUGUUGCCAGCAUUUAGUUGGGGACUCAUACGAGACUGCCGGUGACAAACCGGAGGAAGGUGGGGAUGACGUCAAGUCAUCAUGCCCCUUAUGUUCAGGGCUACACACGUGCUACAUUGGCGCAUACAGAGGGCUGCGAUACCGCGAGGUGGAGCGAAUCCCUUAAAGUGCGUCUCGGUUCGGAUUGUAGGCUGAAACUCGCCUACAUGAAGGUGGAGUUGCUAGUAAUCGCGGAUCAGCAUUGCCGCGGUGAAUACGUUCCCGGGCCUUGUACACACCGCCCGU